rnacentral:lncRNA from 1 species
GUCAAAGCUGAAUUUCUUUCUUUCAGGAAAGUUUAUUUCUCCUUCUGGGAAAUAACAGAGUCUUCAUUUCUGGCUGCAUCAACUUAUGCAAUGUGUUAUUGAUGGUGGGGGAGAUUUGGUUUGGAUGCAGAAUGGGGGGGGGGAGUUGGAGGACAAGGAAAGUGCCUUCGCUCUCUGGUUCUUCUGGUAAAGCCUCAGAAGAUUUUAAGAAACAAGUGUUUUAAAUCUUCAGAUGGGGUGGCUGGGAGUUGAGGAAGUGAGAGAGGGUGCCCUCGGGGUUACGUUUAAAAUUGUCUUUUUGCUCCUGGGUUCAUGUGGUUUUAGCCCUUCCAAGCUGAGCGACUGUUCAGAAGAAAAGACUAGGGAGACUCAUCUGUUGGUGUAAAGACUGCUGUGGCUGAAAAUGAUUCACCACCCCUCCUGGCCUCUUUAUUGACACCCCUUCUCAUCCCAAAUGGAAAUCUAUGCUCAGUUCUGGGAUGGGAGGAGGCGGCAUGGGGGGAGGGGAGGAAUCCAUGACUGGUGGGCGUCCACAGCCAGGAGAGGAGUGGGCAGCCUGCAGGGUUUUGGCCGGCCACCGGAUCACAGACAGGCUAGGCAACUGAGCAGCUGGAGGUGUUGGUCACCCACUCACACCCCAUAGUUCGACUCUUCCUACCAGCCUGUCAGGAUGUUGGUGAGUUGGGGCAAUGACUUUGUGCGGGACAUCUCCCCAGCACCUCAGCUGGCUUCUGGUGGGAGCUCACAACAGCAGCACACAUCUGGUUCUGAUGGAUUUACCAGGCUGGUAGGGAGAUGUCCCGGCUGCAUGGCAGAAACCUGAGCUGCUGGGGACCAGCAAACCCCUCUGCUAAGCCGCAUAAAGGCUGGGAUAGUUUCAGAGUGCUGGCUGCUCCCUCCUGCUCUCAAUGUGAAGCCCAUGACCCCGCCCUGCUCUAUUCUGUUCUAGUUCAUUGACCUGCAGUGAGGCUCUCUUACACCUCAGCCAAGAGGCCAGCCCAGGUGGGAUCCCCCACAGGUGACCGUGUGGAGCGGGGUCAUCCUGAGACACCCAAGGGGUCCCAAAACCUUAGCUGAGUGAAAUGGGCCUAGGGUGGUCUCCCUUGCCUGGCUCAGGCUGUCGGCAGCCUACAGGAGACCGCCGUCCCUGUCGUCAUCAUCGUCGUCCUGUUACUGCAGCUCCUUUGAGGGGGCAGUGACCCCAGAGGCAGAUCUUCACACACAGCUCCAUCCUCAACAACAAAUCGCUGGCUGACCCUGAGCAUCCCAGAAAGAGGGGCUAGAGGCCAGGCAGCUGCCUUAACUCAGGCAGCUUGGGCCCUACCUCCCACUGAGCCUGGUGGUGGGCAAGGGCCAGGGCUUGGGAACAGUGCUCAGAACAUCUGUUGUCCCCCUUCCUCAGGACAGGAGCAGACAAGACUGGACAACACAUACCUGUGAAGCAGGGCAAGGGUGGAGGCGGGAAUUGGCCCCCCCAUCCUGCAUCCUCCAGGGUUCUAGGGCUCAGUGCUGGGAAAAAGUACACCCCCGCACACCCCAGUGGGGCCCUUUGAUCCUAUGGGGUGGCCUGGGACAGAAUACCAGAGGCCAUUUGGUCCCUCCCCCUUACCCUAGGAAGGCCCCGCUCCUUGCUCAUGGAGGACUCACUUGCUUUCUCAAGAAACCCAUUGGCAGAAUCUCGGGAGAGUUGGAGGCAAUUUUCACCAAUUUACUUACAACUCAUUUGCAAAUUGACAUCUGAAGAGGACAGCAAACCUGAUACCCAGAUAGAGCCCCUUGCGGUGUCGGAAAACUUCUCCCCUCCUGGUGGACCCCUGAAAGCCCCCUAAGUGGCCCCUACACAUUGUUCCAGAAGGCAGGUUAGCUGGAGAAAGGAGUUUGACCCAUCCCCUGCACCCAAGGAAAUACAAAUGAAUUUUGUUCUCAAAAGGAAAAGUGAAGAGCUUGAAACUUGAAACUAGCUUCAUCAAAGUCCUCUUGUCAGCGACUAUAACCCACCCCCCACCUCUUUUUCCUUUCUUCUUUGGGGCUUAAAGUUGCAUUUUUAGGGGGGUUUCCUUACUGUUGUUCAUGUCAGCAAAGCACUCACCCACUGCCCAGGAUGGAACUUUAGUUGGAAACCACACGCAUCAAAAAAUUCUCUUGAAAAUUUUCUGCUAUUCUUCCCAACUAGAGGAGUUGACAAGAUGUAGACACAUCAAGUUGCAGAAAAUACAGUGGACUGAUCAGCCAAAAUGCAUCUCAUUUGCACUUGUAUGCAGCCGGGGGUAGGAGCUAGUGUCAGUCACUCCUGCAGCCCUCUCCAUGCUGCACUGACUGGCUGGAAUUUCCGAGCAGGCCCCACUGCAGGGGCCAUUUGUGGGGUCGAAGCCCCACCCCAGCCCAGGCCAGCAGGGGCUGGGGGUGGGGGGAGCUGCAGGCAUCUGGAGGCCUGGCUUGAGGGCUGGAGCCAGCUUGGUCAGAGCUUCUGCUCUGGGCAGCUCAGGGUCUGGGAGACCUGGGGGGGUGGAUGCUGGCAGCUGGAUGCCUAGCUCCACAGCCAUCCCCCUCUGCCCCCUGCACCCCUGGGGGUGGAAUUAAAGAAACCCCACUAAGUAGAGAGAUAGUCACUGCCCAUGUUUUGCACCUGAUUUGACCGAUCUCCCAAGAUUUUAUCUUCAUCAUCCACUCUGUCCUCAUCACCUCUGCCUCCUCCUCCUCUAAGUCCUGAACUUGGACUCUGAGCUUCUCACUCACUUCUUGCCUGUCUCAUUGAGUCCCACCCCUGCCCCCACCCCCACCCCCCAGUUCCCAGGGAAACGUGGGAGCUGCUCUGGGAGGCUUGGAACCCAGUGGGGGCGUUAGGGUGAAGUCACCGGCUUUUAAGGUGUCACUGCUCCCUACUCCCUUUUCUGGGCUGGUCUCAGCUCUUCCUGAUCUUGGUGCUAGGGCCCAACUCCUACCCACCAAUUCUUACCUAGCAGCUGGAAACCCCGGUGGUUCUGGGGCACAGGGUCACUGCUGGGGCUGGGAGCCUCUAGCAAGAGAGGUGGAGGGGCAGGAGGAACCGGGCUGAGUGCCUGGGCUUAGGCCAUGGGAAACGGUCACCUUCCUCCAGAGGGCCUGGCAGCAUGUUCUGGGGGCGUCCUUUCCACUCUGUCCCACAUGCUUUCCUUGCAAAGGCCUUGGUGACUCAGACAUCUGCCAACCCCAAAGCUCCCUUCUCCAGUCUGUUGUUGCCCCGAUGGGAAGUGAGUGCAAUGCCCUGGGUCUAUACCGCCAGGCCUCCAGGCAUCACCACCUUCCCUGGGGACAACAGGGAGCGAUGUGUGUUGCCCAGACUCACAGGAUGGCCAGGAACCAUCACCCAGCCACCCUGGCCCCGCGGCGGCCGGCAGGAGUUCAGGGCUGAGGCUGUGUCACAUGGGGGCAGACAGCCCCACAACACUGACUGCCCUGGCACAUCUGUGGGGCCCAGGGGAACAAUCGAUGGACUCUGUCCCGGGAGCAGGGGACACGCCUGGAAGGUGUGUGAUCCUGCAGAGAUCCUUGGUGGUGCAGCUUUUACAGGAAUCCUUUGUUACAGCUUUGUUAGCCUGCUCGCCUUCAGCGGCUCCCAGUCCAGUCCUGGGCCCCCGCAGUCCCAUCACCGCCCCUCCUCCACGCCCCUGCCGAGUGCCUGACCUGGCGCAGGGGACCUGCCCCUCAAAUCCAUGGCCCCAUCCUGAUCCCCUCCUGCAAAAGGCUUGUUCCUGAGUUCCACCAUCCCUCCGGGCUUGGGGCAAAUGAACAGGGUUUGCAUCCCCUUCGCCUCUGGGGCGGGGGUCUCCUGAAAGAACAGGCUUUUGGAAUGUGACCUCCGGCUGGGCGGUGGACUCUAGCUGCUUGUGCAAGAGCUGCUCUCUUGCCACAGGCCACAGGUGGGGGUGUGCUCAGCAGGGCUAUGGGUACAGGUAACCUGCCCUCUCACACUGCAAGGAUUUUGACAGAAAGAGCAGGGCGAAGAUAACCUGGCUAGGAACUAACUUGGCUCCUUGGGGACACAGAGCACCCACAGCCCAGUAUUCCUGGGUUGGGUUUGCCCUCCCAGCCCCCAAACUAGGUAGGGCUCUUCUUUUGCCCAAGUACAGCUGGAGGCAGGGUGUUUCAGAGGGUGCAGUUAAUGACCUUGACAGGCACAGAAGCUUGCAUGCAGGAUCCUAUAAGGCCAUGCAUUUCCCCUUUCUCCACAGCUUUUCUGUUUAAUUUGUCUUCAUUCCUUCUUUCUAGGCCUUUCUGCCUGCCUGGAGUCAUCUGGAGAGAAAUCAAGUGUGAGCACCUCUCCCGCAGAAAGUUCUGUAUGUUAUGUAACACCCUCACUCAGGGCUUCCUCGGGUUACCAGCGUGCUCUCAAUCAGCCAGCCCUCGGCUUUCUGGCUGGGGUGGGGUGGCGGUGGGGUGUCAGUGUGAUGUAAGUGGAGGUGGAGGCUUCAUUCCCAGGGGGCAUCCCCCCCCCAAGCCCCAGUUCAAGGCCCAGGAACAAAGGGAUAGAAAGGGAACUGAUCUGUCCUUAGCUUUUCCCCUCCACCUGCAACCCCCCCUCCGCCUGCAUCUCCCCCACUUGCCCACUGACAGGGACAGAGGAAAGCCUGUGGGCUCAGGUACCCAGGAAACACCCCCACCAUUGACACUCAGAAACCCCAUUUGAGGGGCAGGCUGCAGGCGGGGCAGGGCCACUACCUCUGCUCCCAAGUCUGGACCCAAGGCUACUUGCCUAGCAUCCUUUUCUUAUUAAAAACAUCCAGGACAACUAUUAAAUAGUUCUUGGGAGAGUUAAAGGCAUUGCUCCAGUUUGAAACAUUUCUAAAGCCCCGUUUGGAAGAAAUCUUGGAGGAGGACAAAAUGUCAUCAGUAGGCUUGGCUUCGCAAGUCUGAAAGGUUUCUCCCCACCCCCCAGAUGUUAAUGAAAAAUAGUUUGGAGAUGUUGUUUUGUUCACUGAUAGGUACCUCCCUGUUGUAGCCUACAGAUUCUCAAGGCCAAGCCAGUAAGGCAUUAUUUUCAUUUUGCUAGCUUCUGGGUGAUACUAUACUUUCCGAUUGAAUCUACUUAAUUUAGUUUAU